UACGAACAACAUGUAAUCAACUACAAAAAAUUACACCCAGUACAAAGACGUGGUUUUUAGUGUGAAGUUUCUUCGAAACUUCACAGUAUUGUGAUGGUGGGGAAAAUUCAAACGAAACAGUCAGUCAGUCAUACAGUAAACUUUCCGGGGGGCGUGUACGAUGUAUGUUCGUAGUGAUUUAUUGUGCUUAGUGACCUUAGUCAGUACUUUGAAGGUUAUUUAGGCAAUUUCAGUUAACUUAUUUACAUAUUCUGUUAUCCUUUUGCCAAGUUCACAAAAAUUUCGAGCAAUCGCUUUCGUUAUUGUAAUUCUUUGUAAAUUUUAGAACAUUCGCUUCUCAUGUUGUGUAAAGGAUCUUUACCCCGGAACACCCGAUUUUUCUUUAGCAGCGCAAAUGCGCAUGCGCUAUCAAGCCGUAGAUCACGAUGGCGUGACGAUAUGCUAGGAAGGAGUGACAGUGUUGUUUUCAGAUGUAUAAACAUUUCAGACGUAAAUAUUGAGCCGAAAAUCUUUGAGAUUCUAGGCAUUCAAUUGAGUGCUGAUAUUAUUUUCACGGUAUACUCGUUAUACAGGGGUACAGUAUGUACGAAGAAGCGAGACAGUGUUGUUUUUCAAAUAUAUAAACAUUUCAGACAUGAAUAUUGAGAACAUCUUUGAGAUUCUACGCAGUAAUAUGAUAUAUAAAUUGAUGAGUAUGGCUACCGGCGUUCAAUUAAGUGCCCAUCGAUAGACGAUAUUAUUUAGACCCUGUAUUCAUUAUACAUUGUUAUUUGACUGUAUAAGGUGCCACAUCACAGAAUAGUACACUCAGGCAAAGAGCGAAAAAUUGCAUCAGAUCAAUAAAGCAUCAACAACUAUUAAACAGAAGCGGGCGUUCGUACAGGCGUUUUAUAUGAAGAAAAUAUUGCGAGACGAAGGAAAUCAGUUGAGUCAGAGCUCCUUAUUUUAAUAAGAAAGACAAGGAGGUAGCCAAUAUGUUAUCGCCAACGUGUUAUCGCCAAUCGCUUGGCUCACCAACAAGCUUUAUGCAAUGGAAGAAAAAAGCAAGGAGGUACAUGUAGCCAACGUGUACUGUCGCGGACCUUGUUUACUGUCUAGCACAACGCCAUUGUCAACGGUGCAAAUUCGUGUUCAGUACAACGUUAACUCUACCAGAUCUUACGAGAAUUAAUCUGUAGUAUUCUGUACACAGAACUGUAUCAAAGCUUGUCAAAACUGCUUUAAACACUGCUAUAACUGUGAAACUACUGAAAUCUAAAGUGACAUUCAAAACAUGCGAAAAGCUAAAAAUAGACACAACGUGACACUGGGAAAAGUCAAAGGUCAAUGCGGACUUGUUAUUGUAAAAUAUGUCACAAUUAGGUUAAAAUGCGGAAGCGGAUGGAGCGGACCACAGAACGGAAAUGCGAAAAAAAUACGGAACGG